ACUUAGUAUUAUGGCAUAGUGAGUGAUGAUAUUAUUGUUAAAGGAUUGUUACUUGUGUCUUCACCUAAAACUUUAUUUGUUAAACACACCUCAUUACUGACUUGGGCUUACUACCAAGCACCUUUACAGCAAUUUAUAGCAAGAGAUUGGUUACAAGAGUGGCUGGCGAUUUCAUUUGAUUUUGAACAGUUUUUUAAAUCCAUUGUUGGUCAUAGCUCUAUAUUGAUUGAUCAUUGCUUGGUAUAUUGUUGUUGUUAGUUUGUCUUAUUUGAGUACAAUAGGCUAUUGUUGCUAAUGGUAGGGUAGAGUGCUUAGAAGGAGUGACUAAACUGUUACUGAAGUUACUAAAUAUUAGCCAAUUGCAGGAAGAGCAACUGAAGGAAUCAUGUGCAAUUAGAAAGUUGGAAGUUUUCUUUUUGACACAGAUGCCACUAAAUGAAAUGCGUUUAAUUGCUAUUUUGAAAGCAAUCCAAGACACUUCAAUCAAAGUUACUAUCAAGUUAUUUUGCCAAAUCCUUAAUGUGUUGAAAAAUUAUUCUCUAGGAGAUUUACCGUCAACAAUUGUAAUGAUCCUUCAAAUUAUUGUUAACAUGAUUUCCGGAGAUGAUAAAUUCCAAGGUAAAUGAAAGUUUUAUUGUAUUGUUACACUUGCUUAUUUCUAAAUCAGCUACAUCAAUUGUUUUAAGCAAUGGCUUUUUAAUGAAUAUUGUUAUGGGUAUUAUUCAUAAAAG